CAUAAAUCAUCAGCAGGGUCUGUACCUGGUAAGGACAAAAGCUGGAUUAUAGGCAUCUCACUGGUAUGUUCCCAUCUGGCUUCAAUUCUUUUUACAUGCAAAUCUAUAGUGAUCCAGGUCCCACCAGAGACCAUUUGAAAUUCAGCCACAGCUGAGCCAGGUGCAGGGAACUCCAGGUGGGGGCACAAGGAGAGUUAAUAGGGCUCCCUCUUCCUCUCCUUUCUCAUUUAAAAAUAGCCCUCUUGCUGUAUUCCUGCUUCUGUCAGUUAAUGUCAGCAUCCCAUCCACAAGAUACAAUACAGAGUCUCUAUGCCCUGUGGAAAUUGGGAGAAUGCAUUCUUUCAUCAGUCUUCACAAAGUGCUCACAACUGGGAAAAAACAAAGAACAGAAAUAGUCACUGACUUUGGAACAGAGAUGAGGAAAUAAGAGGGACAUUAACUGCCAUCAAAGAAGCAGAAAUCUGUGCAUGCUUGUAAACAGGAAGCUCUGAACUUAAACUGUACAUCACACUCAGAUAUCUUCUCUUGAAAUGUCUCCUCAGGUAAGGCCACUAACAUACUUGCACUCAUCCAUUUAAAUUACAGAACGAGGAAGUAGGUUAGUUACAAAGAAAAUGGACCUAUUCCUCAUAACAGAAUCAGUCUGCCUGGUGGUUUAUUUGUAAAUAAAUGUAGCGAUAGGGAAUGAGUGAAGACACACAGAUGUAUACAGGUUAGGAACAAAGAUCUCUUUUGCUUUCUAUACCAUUGCCCUCACUUUCAAAAUACUCUGCCACUUCUAACUAUAAUGAAGAUUUCAUUUUCAUAAAUCCAAUUUUCAGGACAUAAUCAAAUGAAUGAAUGAAUGAGAUAGAUUGAAAAAAGAGACAUCAGAUAUGCUGUCUAAAAUUAAAGUCCUGUUAGAAACUGCUUAGAAGGAUAAUCUCCCUGUGUCGUUAACUUUCUGUAUUUGCUGAUUACAGAAAUUAUUGUUUUAGUUGUUGACACAUACAAGAGCUUGUCACACCUCACAAUUUAUAACCACUAGAUUUUUUCCCUGUGGCAUUGUUUGUACACAGUGUAGCCAGAAUGACUAAAAGCUAAUGUAUGCUCUUCUAAAAGUUUUAUUUGGGUUACAAAUGUGUCUUAAGCCUGAUGUGUUCAAAAUCUAUAUGAACAAAUAGAUCAAUGACGCAGGAUCCUAAAUGAUGAAAUAGCAGAAACUCUGCCAAGAGGCCAAGGGACUGUUCACUUUCUGGCUUGCUCAGGAUAGAAGCAGGAUGGUCUGGAGGCAGUGCAAUGCAAUAAUUAAAUGGGCAUUGCCCAGCAGGAAUGGACACAGC
rnacentral:lncRNA from 13 species